UACGGGGGGAGCAAGCGUUGUUCGGAUUUACUGGGCGUAAAGGGCGCGUAGGCGGCCAGCACAAGUCAGUUGUGAAAUCUCCGAGCUUAACUCGGAAAGGUCAACUGAUACUGUGCGGCUAGAGUGCAGAAGGGGCAACUGGAAUUCUUGGUGUAGCAGUGAAAUGCGUAGAUAUCAAGUGGAACACCAGUGGCGAAGGCGAGUCCCUGGACAACUCCUGACACUGAGGCACGAAAGCUAGGGGAGCAAACAGG
rnacentral:rRNA from 1 species